AUGGCAAGCACUCAGGACGUGAACAUGGACGGCAGCCUCACCGGCUACGCACCGUUCGGCUCGAGCACGACGACGCUGUCCGUGCACAACGAGGAGGAGACGGCCAUCACUGUGGCCGUGGGUGGCAACGAGCCCAGCGGCCGGUACAUCCUGGUGGCGGGGCGCGCCGUCGAGAAGGACGGCGUGCGCCUGCCGAUCCCGGUGGGCGUCCUCAAGCCUGGGAUCACGUACCGCGUUGGCGGGUGGAUCAGCCUGGGAGCAGCACGGGGCACCAGCCACCCCGUGCGCAUCCACCUUGACGUGGACGACAAUGGCAACGAGACCCUGGUGGAGUGCGGCGCGCUGUGCGCCCAGGAGGGCGCGUGGACGGAGAUCAUGGGCGCCUUCCGGCUCAGGACCGAACCGCGCAGCGCCGCUGUUUACAUCCACGGCGCCCCUGCCGGCGUGGACGUCAAGGUCAUGGAUGUCCGCGUCUUCCCGGUGGACCACAAGGCGCGCUUCAGGCAACUCAAGGAUAAGACUGACAAGGCGCGCAAGAGGGACGUGAUUCUGAAGCUGGGAGCGGGAGCGGCGGCGUCCGUGCGCGUGGUGCAGUUGGACAACGCCUUCCCCUUCGGGACAUGCAUCAACACGUCCGUCAUCCACAACCCGGUCUUCCUCGACUUCUUCACCAACCACUUCGACUGGGCCGUCUUCGAGAACGAGCUCAAGUGGUACCACACCGAGGCGCAGCAGGGCCAGCUCAACUACGCCGACGCCGACGCGCUGCUCGCCUUCUGCGACCGCCAGGGCAAGCACGUCCGCGGCCACUGCGUCUUCUGGUCCGUGGACGGCGAUGUGCAGCAGUGGGUCAAGAACCUCAACAGGGACCAGCUCAGGUCCGCCAUGCAGAGCCGCCUCGAGGGCCUCGUCUCCCGCUACGCCGGCAGGUUCAAGCACUACGACGUCAACAACGAGAUGCUGCACGGCCGCUUCUUCCGCGACCGCCUCGGCGACGAGGACAUCCCGGCGUACAUGUUCAAGGAGGUGGCGCGCCUGGACCCGGAGCCCGCGCUCUUCGUCAACGACUACAACGUCGAGCGCGGCAACGACCCCAACGCGACGCCGGAGAAGUACGCCAAGCAGGUCGCGUGGCUGCAGGGCCGCGGCGCCGUGGUGGGCGGCAUCGGGCUGCAGGGCCACGUGCAGAACCCGGUCGGGGAGGUCAUCGGCGCCGCCAUCGACAGGCUCGCCAAGACCGGCGUGCCCAUCUGGUUCACCGAGCUGGACGUGCCCGAGUACAACGUCAGCCUCCGCGCCAAGGACCUGGAGGUGGUGCUCCGGGAGGCAUACGCGCACCCGGCGGUGGAGGGCAUCGUCUUCUGGGGCUUCUUGCAGGGCACCAUGUGGCGCGAGAACGCCUGGCUCGUCGACGCCGACGGCACCGUCAACGAGGCCGGCCAGAUGUUCCUCAACCUGCAGAGGGAGUGGAAGACGGACGCGCGCGGGAACGUCGACGGCGACGGCGACUUCAAGUUCAGGGGCUUCUACGGCAGGUACGUCGUGGAGGUCACGACCGCGACGGGGAAGCAGAUGCUCAAGACCUUCACCGUGGAGAAAGGGGACAACAACACAGCUCUCCUCGUGGAUUUGGCCGACGCCUGA
rnacentral:rRNA from 1 species